rnacentral:rRNA from 1 species
UAGCAUAUGCUUGUCUCUGAGACUAAGCCAUGCAUGUCUAAGUAUAAACCAUUCUAUACCGGUGAAACUGCGGACGGCUCAUUAAAUCAGUUACAAUCUACUCGAUCAUUUAUAAACUACUCGGGUAACCCUAGUAAUUCUAGAGCUAAUACGUGCAAAAAAACCCAAACUAUCCUCAAAAGGGAUGGAAAGGGAGUAUUUAUUAGGUAAAAAAUCAAUGCGAGGUAUUCCAAACUGUCUUGGAGUUUACCCUUCAGGAUGGGCUUCGGUAAAUAGA